AGCGCAGGUCGCCUUAUCGCUUUCUAAACGUAAGUUUAAAAGAGGAAAGUCCGGACACCAAAGAGCAAGCAUAGCGGGUAACGCCCGUCACUUUGAAGUAAUUCAAGGGAGGACAAGUGCAACAGAAAGGAUGUACAGGUAAUGCUGUAGUGAAAUCAGGUAAACUCUAUGCGGUGAAAUGCCAUGUAUAUCAGUAGUUAAGGGUUGCUCGCCCGUUGCUGAGGGGUAGGCAGAUAGAUCAUAUUAGUAAUAAUUUGGCUAGAUAAAUGAUAAGGGCAUAUUUUUUAUGUACAGAAUCCGGCUUACAGAUCUGCUUUUUUU
rnacentral:RNase_P_RNA from 1 species